rnacentral:lncRNA from 1 species
CCGGGAACCCCGAACAUCCCCUUUCUCUACUCUUUCCCUUUGGAGUCUAUAGAGGGAGAAGCAGAGCCUAAGGCUUCAUCAGUUUGAAUACUGGCUGGGGCUGGGCAAGUUAGUGGCUCAAAGUGUUGAAUCUGUCCCUAAAGCAGGGACAGAAAUGGAGGCUCAGGAGGUAGAGGUGGCAGUGGGCGUGCAGGAGAAGCUGUAGGUCAGGAGGUAGAGGUGGCAGUGGGCGUGCAGGAGAACUGUAGGUCAGAGUGGAGAGGUGGCAGUGGGCGUGCAGGAGAAGGUGUAGGUCAGGGGGUAGAGGUGGCAGUGGGCGUGCAGGAGAAGCUGUAGGUCGGGAGGUAGAGGUGGCAGUGGGCGUGCAGGAGAAGUGUAGGUCGGGAGGUAGAGGUGGCAGUGGGCGUGCAGGAGAAGCUGUAGGUCGGAGAGGGUGCAGAGUGGAGAACAGAUGAGCUGGAGUCACACCAUGCCCUAUACCCAGCCAGAGGCCGAAGUGAGCCUGUCACGGUAAUGCCACUGCCUGCUUGAUUCCCUCCCAUGCCUAGCCUGGGUUCUUCAUGAUCCCUGAGGCCCUCUUUGAUGUCAUCCCGCUGCCUCAAAACCUGUGUGUGCUGGUGGCUCCCUCUGCUUUCCUUCCAGAUGACUCCUUCGCUUCAGCUCAAAUGUCACCUUUGGCUGUUAAAAUCCUUUCCGGAGGAAGUUGUAAACAAUGCCUACCCCUCCUCCCGAGGUCUCUGAUUCCACUCCAGGGAAGAUUGCUCUGGGGGAGCCAAUGAGUUUGUUGGGAUUACUUCCAGAGCAUAGGUGAGGGGUUAGUUACUUGAAUAUGAGUGCUGCCCACCAAAAGACCGCACUGAAAAGUCUUUACCCAGCAGGGGUGAUGGU